UACGGAGGAUGCGAGCGUUAUCCGGAUUUAUUGGGUUUAAAGGGUGCGUAGGCCGACUUUUAAGUCAGUGGUGAAAUUUUCCGGCUCAACCGGGACAUUGCCAUUGAAACUGAUAGUCUUGAGUGUAAAUGAGGUAGGCGGAAUGUGUGGUGUAGCGGUGAAAUGCUUAGAUAUCACACAGAACUCCGAUUGCGAAGGCAGCUUACUGGCAUACAACUGACGCUGAGGCACGAAAGUGUGGGUAUCAAACAGGAUUAGAUACCCUGGUAGUCCACACAGUAAACGAUGAUAACUAGCCGUUGGCGAUAUACAGUCAGUGGCAGAGCGAAAGCAUUAAGUUAUCCACCUGGGGAGUACGCCGGCAACGGUGAAACUCAAAGGAAUUGACGGGGGCCCGCACAAGCGGAGGAACAUGUGGUUUAAUUCGAUGAUACGCGAGGAACCUUACCCGGGCUUGAAUUGCAGAGGAAUGUCGUGGAAACAUGUCAGCCAGUAAUGGUCUCUGUGAAGGUGCUGCAUGGUUGUCGUCAGCUCGUGCCGUGAGGUGUCGGCUUAAGUGCCAUAACGAGCGCAACCCUCAUAUUCAGUUACUAACAGGUUAUGCUGAGGACUCUGGAUAGACUGCCGUCGUAAGAUGUGAGGAAGGUGGGGAUGACGUCAAAUCAGCACGGCCCUUACGUCCGGGGCGACACACGUGUUACAAUGGGGGGUACAGAAGGUUGCUACACAGCGAUGUGAUGCUAAUCCCGAAAGCCUCUCUCAGUUCGGAUCGAAGUCUGCAACCCGACUUCGUGAAGCUGGAUUCGCUAGUAAUCGCGCAUCAGCCAUGGCGCGGUGAAUACGUUCCCGGGCCU
rnacentral:rRNA from 1 species